CUGACGGUAAGUGAGAGGAGUGUAAGUGUAAGUGUGAGUGUGUGCUGUGUGUAACUGUGAUUGUGACUGUCUUUGACUGUGUGUGUGUAACUGUGAUUGUGACUGUCUUUGACUGUGUGUGUGAUUGUCUGCCUGUCUGUGUGUGAUUGUCUGCCUGUGAUUGUGUGUGUGUGUGUGACUGUCUGUGACUGUGUUGUGUGUGUGACUGUCUGUGACUGUGUUGUAUAUAUGUG